rnacentral:tRNA from 1 species
GCUUUCGUGGUGUAGUGGUCACUACGCUCUAUACGUAUUCGAGAGGUCCGUGGUUCGAGUCCCGGCGAAGGCA